rnacentral:rRNA from 1 species
UACCAGCACCCCGAGUGGUCGGGGCGAUUAUUGGGCCUAAAGCAUCCGUAGCCGGUUUUACAAGUCCUCCGUUAAAUCCAACUGCUUAACAGAUGGGCCGCGGAGGAUACUAUAAGACUAGGAGGCAGGAGAGGCAAGCGGUACUCAGUGGGUAGGGGUAAAAUCCGUUGAUCCAUUGAAGACCACCAGUGGCGAAGGCGGCUUGCCAGAAUGCGCUCGACGGUGAGGGAUGAAAGCUGGGGGAGCAAACCGG